rnacentral:rRNA from 1 species
CCGGAUACGUUGGGACUAGUUGUGGGGUCCAUUCCACGGAUUCCGUGACGCAGCUAACGCAUUAAGUUCCCCGCCUGGGGAGUACGGCCGCAAGGCUAAAACUCAAAGGAAUUGACGGGGACCCGCACAAGCGGCGGAGCAUGCGGAUUAAUUCGAUGCAACGCGAAGAACCUUACCAAGGCUUGACAUAUACGAGAACGGGCCAGAAAUGGUCAACUCUUUGGACACUCGUAAACAGGUGGUGCAUGGUUGUCGUCAGCUCGUGUCGUGAGAUGUUGGGUUAAGUCCCGCAACGAGCGCAACCCUCGUUCUAUGUUGCCAGCACGUAAUGGUGGGAACUCAUGGGAUACUGCCGGGGUCAACUCGGAGGAAGGUGGGGAUGACGUCAAAUCAUCAUGCCCCUUAUGUCUUGGGCUUCACGCAUGCUACAAUGGCCGGUACAAAGGGCUGCAAUACCGCGAGGUGGAGCGAAUCCCAAAAAGCCGGUCCCAGUUCGGAUUGAGGUCUGCAACUCGACCUCAUGAAGUCGGAGUCGCUAGUAAUCGCAGAUCAGCAACGCUGCGGUGAAUACGUUCCCGGGUCUUGUACACACCGCCCGUCAAGUCAUGAAAGUCGGUAACACCUGAAGCCGGUGGCCUAACCCUUGUGGAGGGAGCCGUCGAAGGUGGGAUCGGUAAUUAGGACUAAGUCGUAAAAAGGGUAG